rnacentral:lncRNA from 1 species
GGGCGGUGAGGGCUCCCGGCGGGAGGCGGCGGCCUCCGGCGUCCGUAGCGGGAUUUUAACGUUGAAAUACCUCCAUCGCCUCGCUCUCCACGCCGGGGUUUUAGCCUUUGGGGGGUCGGAGAGCCUUGGUGGUGGCUGUCGAGCCUCAGCGUCCUGCACCGCCCGCCGGCCCGGCCCGGCCCCUCGUCCCCGGCCUGGCCUCAGGUGGCCCGCCAGGGGAAGAUCCAAGCCCGCGGGCAAAAAGAGCCAUCCGAGGGGCAACCUGGUUGGGACCGGGCCAGCAUCCGCUCCCCGGCACGGAAGAUGCUUCUGCCGCCGGUUUGCCAAGCAGAGAUGCCCUCAGGCUUCGCGUGUCCCGUGGGAGCGACGCAGCGCGGUACCAAGUGGGAUUUUAAGGGGAGGAAGAAAACACGUGUCCCAGCACCUCUCCGUUUUGCCCGGCCAGCUGGAGACGGCAUCAUCUUAAGCAAGUCUAAGAGCAGCUUUGAACUUGGAGAGUGUUUGUUCACCAAAAGGUCGGUUGUUGGUACGUUACAGAGAACAACACGCCUCUUAUUUCCAGAGCCCGGCCAGCGCCAGCCAAGGGGAAAGCCUGACGUAGGAGGGAGCAGGUGACACGUGGGGGUUGGGGCAGGAGGUGACAGUCUCCUCACCCUGCCCCGAUGCCAAAAUCCCGCAGGCAGUGAGUGGCACGAGGGGAAGGAGUUGCCCGUGUGAUGCCUCAGGGCAGCUCUGCGCAGCCCCCAGUGGGUCUUUGCUGCUGCCCUGGGGUUUUCCCUGCAGAACUGCCUUUUCCUUUUUGUGGGAAGGAUCCCACAAAACUGGUUCAGGCUGGAUAUUAGGAAAAAUUUUUUCACUGAAAGGGUCAUCAGACAUUGGAAUGGGCUGCCCAGGGAGGUGGUUGAGGCACCAUCCCUGGAGGUGUUAAAAAGACAGGUUGAUGUAGUGCUGGGAGGUAUGGUUUAGUGAUGGUGUUGCUUCUUGUUUGUUGUGCGGGUGUCUAUUUUUGUCAGUUAGGUUGAUGGUUGGACAAGAUGAUCUUUGAGGUCCCUUCCAACCUAGAAAAUUCUGUGAUUCUGUGGUGCCGCUAUCCAGUUUCUGGCAAUUACU